rnacentral:rRNA from 1 species
UACGUAGGGUGCAAGCGUUAAUCGGAAUUACUGGGCGUAAAGCGUGCGCAGGCGGUUUUGUAAGUCUGAUGUGAAAUCCCCGGGCUCAACCUGGGAAUUGCAUUGGAGACUGCAAGGCUAGAAUCUGGCAGAGGGGGGUAGAAUUCCACGUGUAGCAGUGAGAUGCGUAGAGAUGUGGAGGAACACCGAUGGCGAAGGCAGCCCCCUGGGUCAAGAUUGACGCUCAUGCACGAAAGCGUGGGGAGCAAACAGG